rnacentral:tRNA from 1 species
CUGGGAGAGCGCUUGCAUGGCAUGCAAGAGGUCCGCGGUUCGAUCCCGCGUACCUCCA